rnacentral:misc_RNA from 1 species
UCCCCGUUAACCGGGGCAGUCCCCCUAGAGUUCCCGGCCUGACCCGUUGGCAACUAGGGGCGAGGGUUGCGCUCGUUGCGGGACUUAACCCAACAUCUCACGACACGAGCUGGCGACAGCCAUGCAGCACCUGUGUCGGCUCCCGAAGGAGGACCGGCUUUCACCGGCUUCACCCCGCAUGUCAAGCCCUGGUAAGGUUCUUCGCGUUGCGUCGAAUUAAGCCACAUGCUCCGCCGCUUGUGCGGGCCCCCGUCAAUUCCUUUGAGUUUUAGCCUUGCGGCCGUACUCCCCAGGCGGGGCGCUUAAUGCGUUAGCUGCGGCACGGAGGACGUGGAAUGUCCCCCACACCUAGCGCCCAACGUUUACGGCGUGGACUAC